GAUGAACGCUGGCGGCGUGCUUAACACAUGCAAGUCGAGCGAGUGGAUUCCCUUCGGGGAUGAAGCUAGCGGCGGACGGGUGAGUAACACGUGGGCAACCUGCCUUAUAGAGGGGGAUAGCCUUCCGAAAGGAAGAUUAAUACCGCAUAACAUCAGAUUAUCGCAUGGUAGACUGAUCAAAGGAGCAAUCCGCUAUAAGAUGGGCCCGCGUCGCAUUAGCUAGUUGGUGAGGUAACGGCUCACCAAGGCGACGAUGCGUAGCCGACCUGAGAGGGUGAUCGGCCAAAUUGGGACUGAGACACGGCCCAGACUCCUACGGGAGGCAGCAGUGGGGAAUAUUGCACAAUGGGGGAAACCCUGAUGCAGCAACGCCGCGUGAGUGAUGAAGGCCUUCGGGUUGUAAAGCUCUUUGAUCAGGGACGAUAAUGACGGUACCUGAAGAACAAGCCACGGCUAACUACGUGCCAGCCGCCGCCGUAAUAC
rnacentral:rRNA from 1 species